ACAUGAUGCGUCCUUUUCCUGGCCGGUCACUGGACAAUGAUUCACGCCGAAUAUUUAAUUAUCGUUUGUCACGUGCUAGGAGAGUGGUAGAGAAUGCAUUUGGUAUCAUGUCUCACAGAUGGAGAAUAUUAUUCAAACCCAUCAUUGCAGAACCAUCAAAAGCUAUUUCAUUAGUUAAAGCCAUCUGUGUUCUACACAACUUCCUGCGUGUUAAGAAUGAUCUCAACUAUACUCCUCCAGGGUUUUUAGAUUCUGUUAAUGAAGCUGGCAACAUAACAGAGGGUUUCUGGAGGACAAAUGCACCUAAUCAAACCUCUACCACUGGCUACAACAGUCGCAGUGCUACUCAACAAGCCAGUCAAAUUAGAGAAAAACUUUGCACAUAUUUUAUAAGUUCUGAAGGUUCUGUGGAAUGGCAGUGGAAGCAUAUAAAUCGUCGAUAGUGGAUAUUAUCUUUUGUAGGAUUUUGUUUUAAUACAUAUGGUCAUUUGUUUUUGAAGCAGAAAUAACUUUAUAUAUGUUGUAAAGAUAUACGAUAAGUAUAAUAAUAGGAAAAUAAACUGUUAGUAAAACAUUAAAAUAGUUGUGUGCUUAAUGAUGACAUAAGAUAU